CCGGAAUCACUGGGUUUAAAGGGUGCGCAGGCGGACUGGUAAGUCGGUGAUGAAAUGUCGGGGCUCAACCCCGGCGCUGUUGCCGAAACUAUCAGUCUUGAGAGCGAAUGAGGUAACUGGAAUGGAUGGUGUAGCGGUGAAAUGCGUAGAGAUCAUCCAGAACACCAAUUGCGAAGGCAGGUUACUAGUUCGUCUCUGACGCUCAGGCACGAAAGCGUGGGGAGCAA
rnacentral:rRNA from 1 species